GCGGAUGUGGCGGAAUUGGCAGACGCGCCGGAUUUAGGUUCCGGUUCGCGAGAGUGCAGGUUCAAAUCCUGUCAUCCGCACCA
rnacentral:tRNA from 3 species